AGAACGAACGCUGGCGGCAUGCCUAACACAUGCAAGUCGAACGAGACCUUCGGGUCUAGUGGCGCACGGGUGCGUAACGCGUGGGAAUCUGCCCUUAGGUACGGAAUAACAGUGAGAAAUUACUGCUAAUACCGUAUGAUGUCUUCGGACCAAAGAUUUAUCGCCUAGGGAUGAGCCCGCGUAGGAUUAGCUAGUUGGUGGGGUAAAGGCCUACCAAGGCGACGAUCCUUAGCUGGUCUGAGAGGAUGAUCAGCCACACUGGGACUGAGACACGGCCCAGACUCCUACGGGAGGCAGCAGUGGGGAAUAUUGGACAAUGGGCGAAAGCCUGAUCCAGCAAUGCCGCGUGAGUGAAGAAGGCCUUCGGGUUGUAAAGCUCUUUUACCGGGAGAUAAUGACUGUACCGGGAGAAUAAGCCCCGGCUAACUCCGCGCCAGCAGCCGC
rnacentral:rRNA from 1 species